AACUGUGAAAAAAGCCAGAGGAGGCCAUGAUGUCACAAAAAACAAACGAGCUGGGGCUGCUUUCCUGCUCCUCUGCAGCUCCACGGCUCUGCCCUUGCCUCGCUGGCCCUGCCAGCCCAGCACAGCCCCAUGUUUGCUCGCCUGUCAUUUGCCACAUGUGCAGGAGGGUUUUUUAAGCUCCUACUGGCAAGGCGACCAGCCCUGAGACCCAGGGCAGCACAGUGAGGAGCUGCCAAUAGUGUGAGAUAUUCAGUGAGAACCCCAAGUGAUGUCCUGCCUGACUCCUCAGGGCUCCAGCCUGGAAUAGCACCAUUAAGGGGAUGUCAGUGGUUUACUGGAGCAUGGCACAGGGAGCUUUCCUCACUCUCCAGGCUGGGCUGCAGACGGACACACUCCUCAGUGGGCUCUGAUAGAUGUUUCCAGGUUCAAAUAACGGAGCUCACAGGAACCCACUCCUGCUCCUGCCCUGAGCUGAGUUUAUUAACCCACUCUGUAAACAGCCACUGCACCUCUGCCAUUCCCCCUCCUCUCUGGCAGCUGUUGGACAGAUGUGCAGGACACUGCCAGGCAAGAGGGGCAGUACUUCCAGGACUUUUAACCAGAGGGAACAAGAGGGCUGCGAUUAUUUUCUUUAAACUCUGGAAAUUAGGAGGACAAAAUGGUGACCUGUGACUCUAUCCCAAGAGGAAUCCUGAACUAACGGAGCAGCGGAAGGUGGGUGGUGAAGAGGCCGAAUGGUCCGAAUCGACUGCACCACAGCCAUCCCUGGGAGUGCUCAAAAAACGUGUGGAUGUGGCCUUGACAGUGCUGGGGGAAUGGUAGGACUUUAUGAUCUCAGAGGCCUUUUCCAGCCAUA